GGUGCUCACCUGGUGGGCUUUGGGCUGGUGGAGCAAAGCAGGGUGAGAUGCUCCUGGGGACAGGUUCAGCUCCUAGCUGGGAGGUGGCACUGGCUGCAUCAACACUUCUCUGCUCAGCCUCUUCAGUGUCAGAUGUGAUGGUUUAAGCCACCUGUAGACGAAGUCAGUUUGACGUUGCAGGGGAACAAAGCAGAGGAGAGGACUUGCAUGGCUGGCUCAGAGAUGUGUCCUGAUCAAAAGAGAGGCAGGUACAUUGGCAGGUACAGUGGCCAAAGCCCAAGGCACAGACCUGGGUGGCAUGUAGCUAUGUCUGUGCUAAUAAACUGGGCAGGGGCAGGAGCUGCGCUCUGCUUUGUGGCUGAGUUACACUGUCUGGCCAUGGUGUGACAGAUAAACUCUUGCCCUCCAAAACCAUGUGGCCACAUACAGGCUACCUAUUGGGAACAGACCUGGCCCAUGCUAACUCCCAGAGUGUGGUUUGGGAGAGCGCUGGUUUGCCUGGGCCACAGCUGUACCCAGGACUGCACUAAGAGCUGUAGGGAUGGAUGUUCAAGCUCCCCCACUCGUGCCCUGGAUUCACUGGCUUGAUUUUCUGCUCUAGAUGCUGCCAGUCCAGCUGGUGUCAGGCAAGUUACCUAAUGCGUGAUAUAAGAAAGACAAGACUCUUCCAGCUUAAUUUCUAGCCUUUGCCCCUUCGCGCCCUCUCUCACAUGGGGGUGGGGGUGCGUCCUUAGCUACUCUUGUAGGGGUGAGACUGCCAGAAUUGGAUACAUUGGGAAAGUGGGGUGUGGUACAGUUGAAAGUGCAAAUUCGCUGCAGUGGUUUGUAGAAAUUUGAUUCAGUGAAGAGUUGGGCCUAUAGUAUACACAUGCCAUAAAGAUGGCAUUCCUAGUUCACAGACCUUUUGUAAUUUUGUCCAUGCUUAUUAUACAGUUAGAGAAAUGCAUUAGCAUUAAAAUAUGUGGGCUAAAAGCCGUCGGUUGCGUCCUGUAUUCUCCUCCUGCCAGCCUUUGUCUUGACUUUAGGUUGCAGAUUAGACAGGACAGCUGAGGAUCUGGGUCCCCCCAAGCAGUCUAUACACAGUCAAGAAGUCCCAGAGAUUUGAUAGACUAUACUUGAUGUUUCUUUCUGAGCACACGACAUGUUUCCUAACUUCAGCAGUUUCAGAGGUUUGAUUUCGGUGGAAGAUAGUAUAUAUAAAUGAUAGUAGAUUGAGGAGUGCCUAUGCAGGGCUUAUGAAACACUGCGCGUGUCUGCAUGUGCAUGCAUUAAAAUAACAGGGCAAAGGUGACUGCAAUAUAUUAUUUACCUGCCGGCUCAGAUUUAUCUGCCUGCCUUAAGGACUCCUGGCUCUUGUCUCUCAGAUUUUGUUCUAGAGAAAAAUUUUGGCGCAAAGAACUGUGUUUGAGGGUGCUGUCCUACAGGUAGCAUUGGGGGGCUGAAAUCAAAUGUUCCACCCAGGUUAUUUUGGGCAUGCUGACAUUUGCUUCCUUGUGGGUGCAUCUGGAUUUCUCCUCUCCCUUGGUCAGUAGCAGAAGCGUUUUCCUUAUUGAUGGCAAGUAGGUGGUAGUGGGGGGGGGCAGGUCUUGUUUGUUGCUACUGGCCAGCUGACAAUGGACAGUGAUAAAAACACAGAAAAAGGUGGGAAGAAAGGAACGGAUAGUGUAAUUACACCUGAUAAGGAUCAGCAUGACACCACUAUCAAGGAUGUAUUUGAAACCUACACAAAUAAACACAUAAAACAUUCAAGACAUGGAAUCAGGUUCUUCCAAAGAGCAGCCACAAUUACAUAAAGAAACAAAAAAGGAUUUUUUUUUUUUAUACUGUGGUGCUGGCAGUCAGAGCCUCGCCUCUGACUGUGCCUGGGAAAAGAGUGUGUUAAGUGUGAGCAGAAUAAAUGAUUCAUUUGUAACCAGCACGGCAGACACCUGUGUAGCACCUCACUGCAGCACCUUCCUAUGCCGGCCGGGUGUCAGGGGCAGGCAUCAUGACUAGUCAAAAGCAAACCUAGUUACAGUAGAUCUUGAGCAAGAUCCUCGGAGGUGCAGAAAAUACACCUACAGAAAAAUGCAUCUACAUGUUUCCAGGUGCAUCUUUCUUCAGCACCAUUCAAAUCUUGCUCUCUACACUUGGACGAAUGCAGACCUGAUUUUGCAUGUUGCAGAGUAUUCGCAUUUCUGAACAGGAGCCAUUUUGCAAAGGAGGAAUGAGCAGCACCUACCCUACUCCUGAGCUGCCACCUCUCUCCUGGGGUUCGAGAAAACCAGAAAGCAAGCCCCCAAAGCUUUCUCCUUUUCCAGAGAAAUACACAGAACAAUACUGGAUUUCCUUCGAAGCAGUAACAGGACAGGGUGAAUUUAGAUGCCAGAGAGUGGAAUUUCCAAAUGCGUUUCCCUUCCUACACCUUUUCUUUUUCAUCUACAUAAAUCUGUGUCAGUUUUUAAAGAACCUAUUUUGGGGGGAGGGAAAGGGGACAGAACAAGCGAUGAGCUAUUCAGAGCUAAAAGAAGAGAUUCAUGCUGCCAGAGGUAAGACUGCAGAAAAAUGUGUCAGUGUAGCAGAUGAUAGUUCUCCUCUCUUAAUGCCUCUCCUGAAGCAUCAAGGUAUUCGUGUUUCUCAAAGGGGCUGUACAUCUCAGAGGUAGUCUAUGAACUGCAUGUUGAAACGGUUGCCAUGGCAGUGACAGAGUGUAAGUUAGAAAGCGUGAUUAGCCAGAGUUGGCCUAAAUAGCUGAAGGGAGGAAAAAAGAAAGCAAGAAAAAAGAAGGCCAAGUAAUUUCUGUUGUUCCUAAUACAGAUCCAUUAGCAUUAGACCGUGCCAGGAAGAGGAAGUGGUGCUGAUGGAGAGGAGCUUGCAGGAGCAUGCUCUGCACCCCAGCCCCAGCUGGGGUACCACCAGCAGCACACGCUGCAAGGGGACCUUCGCCCCCUUACAACGUACCAGCCCAGCAGCUGAGCACUGGGCACGGUCCAUUUGUACAGACCAGUCCUGUUAGUGUUGAUCUGGUGAAAUGGUGCCUCUCCAGAGUCAGAGGUGAGGCCAGGGCACUGCUCGACCUUCAGCAACCCAGAGAGCACGGUCACAGCGCUCUCCUGGCUGAUGCCUGGCAUAGCCACAUUAGAAAGUGGGAGACUGGCCUGCAGAGGUUGCAAGGCUUGCCCCAAGUGACACAGAGGGAUACUAGCCUGGGUGGGGUGCUAAUUGGUGAAGUCCCUGUCCCUAAAGCCAGGCCAAUUCUUCUAGCCCACUAGCCUACAUCUGCUUGAAGUAUGCCUCUGAAAGGUAUCCCAUCUUCAUCUGGAGGCUAGGAACUGAAGAACACAGCCCUUUUUGUUAAUUCAUUGCAGUGGUUAAUCACGCUCAUUAAAAAAAUAAUUGCACCUUAUAUCUAAUUUAAAUGUGUAUGGUAUUAGCGUUCAGCCUCUGCUGCAUGCUGUGUUCUCUGCUAUAUUUGAAAGAAAAAAAAUCACUUCUUGAGAUCCUGUGGGUUUUCGCUGCGAAGGUUUCUUACGCACUAGAGUCACUUUCAAGCUUGUUUUUGAAGAAGUGAAGAAGCAGAAUUCUUUCUCUCAGAGGGUUUACUUUUAGCUCUUCUCAGAGAAAAGUGGAAGACUGGGAGACUAAGGUGAAGACGUCUGAAUACUAGGUCUGGGUGGAAAAAUGUCCUCUCUAAGAUCUGUAGAGUGCCACAUUAGGGGGCCAUGCCCAGUGUAAAAAUCAACAGAAGAUAUUUAUGCAAGCUGAGCGUAUGCAGGUGGGUGUUUGUAGGAGCAGAACCUGUUAGCCUGAUUCUCAUCUCUCAUAGCUUUCUAGAAUAAAGAGAUUUGAUUUACAUUAGCCUGGAGUGCUUCUGCUUCUUAGUCCUUUCAAUGAGAUAAGAUAUGAAUCUACUCAGGCGAAUCCAUAACAUUUGACCACUUACCAAGGAUAUUUUUCUCCCCUCCUGUCCUAAGGGAUCCUUAGGUUCCUCCUUUAGGAGGAGUACAAACCAGCAGUACUUACUGUGGUUAAUGGGCAUCUGUUUUGGCUGCUGGAGCUGGAGUGAGAGAGAUGAUAUGGCCUGUACUUUAGGAGGAAGCAAAGAAAAACCCACAAGACACCUAUUUGUCCUGCAUAUCAGGUUGGCUUUUGCCAUUAUUUGCAGGAGUCUUUUCCGCUUCUUGCGCCUCCUAAAUCCUUGUCAUCCAGGUUUGAGAGCUGGGACUAUCUUCUUUGGCACCAAGUCAAUGAUACGUUUUUUAGCACCAGCAGGCAUUCAUAUUUUACAUUAGUGUUCCUCCCUGUUCCUUUCAAGCAAUAAUCGUAAAUAUCAGCUUUCAUUCCUAGAGCGCCUUUCAUCCCAGGGGCUCCCAAAAGCACUUUCCAAGCUUAACAAGCUUAUAGUAGUGUAUUCCUUUAGAAAGGGUGAAACUUCCUUCCCAUUAAAGCCUGAUUUUGGGAAGAAAACCUCCAAAUUAUAAAGUCUUCAAUACACAAGGGAGCCUUUGUAGCUGUUAUUUACCAUACGUGUUCCCUUACAAAAAAAGAUUGCUUCUUGCUCCUCCAUCCCCCCUGUCUCACCCAGCUUAAUCCAGCAGUCCCUAGUUACGCAGGGAAGAAGAGUGCAAGUGAUGAGAGAUGAUUGUCUCCUGUGAUCUGAGGAAGUGCUUUUCUUCUGGAAUCCUAUUGCUACCCUCAACAGUGUCUUCUGGCAACUUCCGUUUCCAUCCAGUCUAUUUUCUCUUUAUGGGGGCAAAUGUCCUAGGGCAGAGUUGAUUGUCCUGUGGCUUUACCCCAGCCAUGGCUGGGCUGUGCUAAGGAUCAUGUGAAAGACUGCAGUCCUCUUCAAGACAAAGUCCACUGGCCCAAUUCCCUUGCAAUCAAAGCAAAGCCGGUUGCUUUGUGAUGACGUGAACACAACCUUUCAAAUGGUCCUUUAUGUGGCUCAUCUGUGGGCCGUCUGUAAGCCCAAGAGAAGAUUGUUGCUGGCAAUUUCUGAACUGAAGAAUUAGUUUCCUAAUGAAUCAUAUGAUUAAUUUUAAGGCAGCUUGAAUCUGACCAGUGUCAAUUUGUUUUCAUUGGUUUCAGGGGGACUCAGUGUAGUGGGACCUCUCCAUCUCAUGAUGCACAGAGCUUUCUUCCAUGCCGGCUGUGUGGGAAAGUGGUCUCUCCUCUGUUUGGCUGAGAGAGGCCCAGGUGAGGCACAUGAACUCUGGUUACUUCUCCAAGGACACACCGAGAGGCUGUGGUAGAGGGGAAACAAAAGCCCUAUCUGAUUCAGUGCUUCAACCGCACAAACAUAAUUUAUCAAUAUAGAUAUCUUUGGAUGAAAGAUACAUCAAAGCAUAUUUUUGGCUGCUACCUUCAGAGGUAGUACUAAUCUCCUGGGGGAGUGUAAGCAGUGAUAUAUGAUCCAAGUAUCAAAACCCCCAUCUUCUUACUGUCUCUCCUCCUCUCACACUGGUCAGGUUCACAGGGAAGCCCUUUCUUGGGGUUGUUAUGUCAUUUAUUCCCAUCAGUAGAUUUUGGUUCAGAAAUGCAUUUUAAUUCUUUUCCAAGAAAACACUGCCUGUUUCAACACUAACUCUGAAGAUCUGUAAAUUGGCAAAGGAUCCAAAAAGAAUAAUGAACCAGCAGUUACUGUUUACAUUGGCCACCUUGUAUAAGUGCUGAUAUUAGCAUUUCUGAAAGGAUUCAUUCAUCACUAAAAAAAGAGACCUGAAUAUAUAUAUUGAAAGUGGCUCUCUUGGGCUUCUUUUAAAAUAAAAUCCUGCAAUACAACCUCAAGCCCAGUGAUUGGUUCCCAUGUCAUGGAAAAUCAAGUAGACCUGCACUACAAAGAGCAAUGGCUGUUGAAAACAUUUUGCCCUUUCCAGACUAUGACCUCUUCUGGGGAUGUCAGCAAAAUAAACAUACUAUUAUGAAGUACCCUUAAGUCUUCCUUACCUCCUGCUGUUUGUCACACUUGUUGCAAUUUGCCUUAAAUUAGUUGCCUUCACACGGAGGUAUGUGAUGCUGUUUUGCACCGAAGAAGAGGUUUGGAUGUUCUGCAGUGCCCAGCUGGGAUGCCAUGAGCCAUGGCUCCGAGAUAGAACAGGUCCUCUGCACGGCCAGAAGCCAGCAUGUGUUUCAUCCUCGUACUGCAGGUCAGGGGUCUUUCAGCAAUGGGGGACAUGUAACAACAGCUUUUUUGUGGGAGACAAAAAUGUUCAGUCUCUGUGGGAUGUCUACAUUUUUACUAGGAUUCCGUGGCAUUCUGUAGGAUGAAGAUCAAACUCUUUUUCAGGUACGUUAUUAUGUUAUAACCUCUAAUAUACCAUUUUUCUUUUAACCUUUUGGCUGCUUCGCUUUUAGGCUGUAAGCAGCUAGGGCCCUUCCUGGGUACUCACACAGCUCCUGGCAUGGUACAGCUUCAGUUCUGGCAGGUGACUUAGGCCAUUGCCGCAAUCCAAACACACAUUUUAAAAUUAAAAUGAAAUGUCUGGAAGCUAACCUGCUUGCAAGUGCCCCUUUCAUGCAAAAGAUGAUGCUCUGCAAGCACUGUGUUUAUAAAGCAGAGGAAGAAAGCAAGCAUGAAUUAAAUGAGAGACCAAGUACCAGCCCACUGCGUCUUGUGAGAAGUCCUCUCAGAGGGGCACAAGUCUCUGAGACUUCCCUGGUGGAUUUUGUUCUCAACCCUUUAAAUUGUCAGGCUGGGGAAACUGGGGUGGUGGCUGGCAAGGAGCCAUGAGGAUCAUCCCCCCACCCAGAGAGGAGGCACUCUCUGCCUCUCGGGGGCUGUGAUUUCAGCAUGCAGCUCUGUUGCACGGAAGGAGCAGAAAUAAUGCUAGGGACCUCUACAGGGGUGAGUGGGUAUGUAAACGGCCAGCAGUGCACAUAAGGGAUUUCAUCGUAAGCGGUCCGAGAAGACAUGCCUGCUCUGCAACAGGCAAACAUGUCUCUGCACAGAACCAGGAUAAUUUCCCUUCAGUCCGGGGCAGAUUGGCAGCAGUCUCAAAUGUAAUCCUCACAGUAUUACUUCCAAAGAUGAAACGGGUAUUAUGGCACUGCCACUGAAGCAGGUAAUCUUUAAAUAUAGCUGCAAAUUGCCUGGUUUAAUGCUAACAAACCCUAAUGGUGAGGAAGACAAGACAGGUAGCAGGACUGAUACAGCAUAAUAUAAUGUGAUGCCUGAUAUAAAUGUGACUCAUUCUAGCCAGAGGCUUUAGUAUAGGAAGUCAGAUAAAAGAUAUAAAAACAAGUCUGAAUUUUUUUUGCUUCCCGGUGAAGGUCACCGCCAGGAAUAGCAUGGGAAAUAAUUAAUGGAGGAAGAAAUGUUCCCCUUCAAAUUAGAAGUAUUGUCUUGCUUCACAGUUUUGUUCUCCUCUUUGGGCUCCUGUAACAAACACCGGCAAACGUGCAGGGCCUUUCUCCCUGAAGCGCUGACGGAUAUCCCGCUCGGCAGGUAGUGAAUGUGAGGGACUGGCUGUGCAGUGCUCACAGUGUAUGUUAAUGGGUGUCUGCCUCGCUGGCCGUCCACCCACCAGCAAUGUGCUGAAUGGACCUGGGAGACUGAAUGGGGCUCCAGGCAACGGUGGCCAAUUUUCCUGGUCAACACUGAGGCGCAGUGCCAAGGCUGUGUGUGAGAUCCUGCGCAGCCUGCUGCUGGGCGAGUUUCACCCCUUCCCCUCUGCUCCGGAGCUCUGGGGAGCUGGGUCUUCUUUCCAGCCCCAGCAGAGGUCCUGCUCCCUCAGUCCCUACGCUUCAUGUGAGAGAACAUGGAUGACAGCAACCAUUGCACUCGCGGUGGCACAGGCUGUUCUCUGCUCAUCCUGCAGAGACCUGGGAGGCUCUGGGCUGCUAUUUGCUCUCUGUGACCAGGAAUGCACUUACACAUGUGCAAAGGGGAGCCACGCAGCUGUGCCUGUGGCGCAGUGUGCAUACAACUCUACCUGGGGCAGGAGCCGUCCACGAUGCAGCCCAUCUGCUGUGCAGGAAUGCGGUGCUGCAAUUUAAUUCCCUUUCCUCCGAGUGCUCUUUGAGUGGGGACGGGUGAGGAGAGGAGCGAGUGCCUCUGCUUCAUGUCACCACCCUGCAGGCUGGAGGCUGGGCAGCUGUGGGGGGCUGAGGGGCUGCUGCUCCCUGGGGCACUGAUUUGUUGUCUUACAGGUGGCCGUAGCAGGGAGGAGUGCUGGUGGGAAGCUCUGAGCUUUGCGCUCCCGACUGAAAUCUCCUGCACGUGACUCUGUCCUUUCUGCUGUGAAGGACUGGUCACAUUUCCCAUUCUUGACUCCAUGUGGCUGCUCUGAAAAUCCCAGGUUAUCUGUGCGCAAACCAGCUGCCUUUCCCACUGCUCAGCUCCUGAGAGCUCACCCACCAGGCCUUCAUCACUGCUCAGCGACUGCAUGCCAGGGUCAUUAGGGCAGUUAGCACAGUGGUAAGAUACAUUCAUUUUUGGAGGGUUUUUCUUUCGGAGGCCCAGGAGGUGAGAGUGCAGAUCCUCCCUCCCUCAACAGGCUCCUGACCCAGCAGUGGACUUUCAGAGGUAGGAGCACUGCAGAAGUCCUGAGUACCCCAGAGUUGCCAUAUAGCACAGGAAAACCCCGUUAUGGGAAAGCUGCUAAUAUCAGAGGCGCUCUCAGACCUGAGAGACGAGGCCAUUGUUUUACCUGGACACGUGCCAUGGGGAUACACCAUGGGUUGGGCGAGGGGCGCUGCUCUCCCAGGACCUCUUGCAGCGCUUUGGCUUGGAGAUGUUUUGUAAUGCAGGAGGUGAAGUCCCCACCUUUGGACUCAUGUGUCAGGAAGGCCUCUCGCUGCGGAUGAUUAAUCUCCCCUUCCAGUAAAAAUGCAGCAUGCCUCUUCUUCUGACAAGUCCCACAAGAAAGGAAGCACGGUUGUCCACAACAGCCCUCUCCUUGUUUUUGUUCAUAACCAGCCUCAGCCUGCACUGGGUUUUCAAAGGCUGGCUAACAAAAUCCCCAGGUUUACCAGUAGAAAGAGAAAAAAAAGGGUUGAUCAGAAAAUCUCAGCUUGGGUACACGUCACAACUGGUCUUUCCUCUCUUUCAUUUAACAUGGCAGACUGACAGGCUGUAAAAUACGGCCAGUUGGAAAGAAGAUCAUUUUGUUUUACCCUGCCCAGCCUCAUUUUUCAGAGCUGAAUGUCCAGUCAUAUACCUAUGUGAAACCUCCAAAGCCCUGGAGGCUUAAUGCAGCAGUAUUUUUUUUUUAAUAGGCAGUUUAUUGUCCACAUUACAUUUUUCUGUGCCUUUUGGUCAAUAUCGCAGACUAGAGAAACCAAGGAGAGAUUGAAAACAAAUGAACUCUCCUCUUAAAUUUAUAGUCUUCCCCAAGCACCGGAGCAACCAGAGCAUCGACACAGUCUCUGCACUAGCGGGUUUGCUCUUUGCUCAGCGAGCGCUAUUCUCCCGUCACACUGCCGUGCUGCAGAGCUGCUGCUCAGCGGGUCUCGGGGUCAUGCCGUCAAAAUGCACGGCCCGAGCAACAUGGUUUCACAGCUCUCUUCACACAGCUUUGCACUUUUACUCCCGCCUGACUCUGAAGUGGAAAGGCCCCUGAGAAAAUGGUGUAUUUCAUAAUAUUUCAUAAGAAAGGAAUGUUUUUCAUCCUUUCCUAGCACUUCCGUGGUCCUUCUGGAUGGCUCUCACAGGCCAGAGUGAUGCAGGAGGAGACAUUUCUAACAGAAAACAACCCUGGUUGCUUUUUCACCUUUGACAUUUCUACAUGAAAAAAAAAAAGCUCUCAGCUGUUCACCAAAAGUUAGUAUUUGAGGCUUUUUUUUCUUUUUUCUUUUGUUUGCACAGACUAAACAUUGACACGUCAUAUCCUGUACGAGCAGUUGUUUUAAUGGAUGCGCUGCCAACAAAGACACUUGGCUUUAAGUUGCUGAUCCUUUGCGACCAUAACGGCUUUUAAUGAAAGGUUUUGUCUUCGUAAGACCAAAAUGUUCUUUACCCAGCUUUGGCUUUUGAAAGAAACACCACGAAUGUUUUUGGAUUGGAUGUGAAAUGUUGUGUAAAUUCUGUAAUACCAAAGUGGAAAAUCUGUCCUUUCUAUGUCCUUAUUAAUAGACUAUAUAACAAAACAGGUGGGGUUAAAGCCUAAAUGGUUUUAUACGCUAUGAAUUCAUCAGAGUUUUACAUCCUCAGCAAGGGAAAUAUUUAAAACCAGAAGAAAUAUGUUAAAAUAAAUUAAAUAUGAAACUAAAGAAAUAUUUGUGUGCGUUUGGUAGGUUUCUUGUUUUUUAACUAGAUUUAGCUUUCCUUUUCAACUCCUUUUCUCUGAAGUUGCUUGCGCUUCAGGGCUGUGCCUCCUGACCCCCGGAGGGCUCUGGCAGGAGCAGGCAGGCACGUGGGAGCCCCAGAUGACUCUUCACAAAGGCAGAGAUUCAGAGCGGUCCUUCGGAAUUAUUCAGUUCAUGCUGCAGCCGCUAUGGCGUGUGUUUGAGGCUGAGGAGGCCACAGCUUACUGGUGCAGUCAGAGGGAACGGCGAAAAGCUCCAUUGGUGUUCAGGAUGCAGCAUGGUUCGGGUGGCUCGGAAAAAGAAAGUCUUAUCGCUGGUUACUGGAUCCAAGGAGAAAGCAGCUACGUGUUGCUGAUUACCACCUGGGAGAAGUAGCAGAUGACUGACAACUUUUAAAUUGCCCUUUCAUCGUGCCGUGUGAACUGCACAUUGGGACUGGAGCUGCACCGGAGGCUGUUGCAUCACAGAUCAUGCUUUCAGCAGAGCUUUGCAGAAAAAAAAAUGAAAGUAAAUGGUGUUAUUUUCAGCCUGAACAGUGAGCAAGUUCUCAGUAUCUAAAUGAGAGCCCUUGAAGUAAGCUCCAGGUGUUGCAGGAAGUGGUGGAGGUGACUCAGUAAAUGUCACACUUCCCUCCAAGUCAGUUCUGAAGUGGUGUCCAAAAAUAACAUUUCAUGGGCAUCUGACUGUUUGAGAUGGCCCUGCUUUUUCAUGAAACUCAAAACUAGUGCUACCUGGCACCUUUCCGAUUUUACACCACCUUUCUUGUCACAAGUGUUUGCCUUUAUCUUCCUUUGUUCUUUCCUAUAGAGCCAAACAUAUGACAAGUUAAGUCUUGUUGGUCUCUAAAAACAAGCAUUAACCCCUUUCACUCUCAUUCCAUUGCUUUGAUGCAUUUUCUUAAAUAUUUAUUCCCCUUGAAUGACCGAUAUUUCCUCCACUGUAUUAGUCCAACAUAUUUUUCUUUGUAACUCCCCAUUCAAGCAUUGAUGGGGGUGACUAAACAGCUGCCGGGUUCAAGCAGCCAGAGAGUGGUGCAGUGGAAAAUAAAAACCUUU